AACGAACGCUGGCGGCAUGCCUAACACAUGCCAGUCGAACGAGACCUUCGGGCCUAGUGGCGCACGGGUGCGUAACGCGUGGGAACCUGCCCUUAGGUUCGGAAUAACUCCCCGAAAGGGGUGCUAAUACCGGCUAAUGUCUUCGGACCAAAGAUUUAUCGCCUUUGGAUGGGCCUGCGUUGGAUUAGCUAGUUGGUAGGGUAAAAGCCUACCAAGGCGACGAUCCAUAGCUGGUUUGAGAGGAUGAUCAGCCACACUGGGACUGAGACACGGCCCAGACUCCUACGGGAGGCAGCAGUGGGGAAUAUUGGACAAUGGGCGAAAGCCUGAUCCAGCAAUGCCGCGUAAGUGAUGAAGGCCUUAGGGUUGUAAAGCUCUUUUACCCGGGAUGAUAAUGACAGUACCGGGAGAAUAAGCUCCGGCUAACUCCGUG
rnacentral:rRNA from 1 species